rnacentral:lncRNA from 10 species
CUUCAGCCUUCUGCCAUGUGAAGACACAGCAUUCCUUCCCUCUGGAGGACACAGCAACAAGGCACCAUCUUGGAAACAGAGAGAAGCCUUUGCCAGACAACCAAACCCGUUGGUGCUUUUAUCUUGGACUUCCCAGCCUCCAGAACUGGUUUUUGAAGGCGUCUCUCAUAAGAUGGCAUUUGAGCAGAGACCUGAGGAAGUGAAAGAUGGAGGGCUGAAGCUUCCAGUUAGAGGAACAAGCAAAGACCCCGAGCAGGAUCAGGAAAGUGUGGUAGAGACAUAAUCAAAGAUUCAGACAAAGAUAUAACUACAGAAUGCACAUGACGGUUUUGUUAAUACACCAAAAGGAAAAAAAUUAAAUAACGGACUCUCCCAAUAAAUUGUGACCAUCUAUAGUUUGGAAUAACAUGAAGAUUGUUAAAAACUAUGUUUACAAGAAUGGCAAUAACAGAGAAACACUUGCUAUAUAAUUUUCACAAUAACAAGGUGAAGAAAUAUUAUAUAUAUAUAUAAUAAAAUUCAAAUUUUUAAGAGAAAUUAAAAUGUAUAGAAAACAUUGGAAAAGGAUACACUUAAUAAUCUUUUUUUCAGCAUGGUAGAAUUGUGGGUGAUUUUUGUUCCCUUUAUAUUUUUUAAUACUUUGUACUUUUUAAUGACAAAUGUAUAUACUACCAUUUAAUGAUAAAAAUAUAUUUUUAAAAUACUGGAUAAGAAUUAUUCAAAUAAAUGCCUUAUUUAAAAGUUAAAUUGCAGACCAAGUGCAGUGGUUCACGCCUGUAAUCCCAACACUCUGAGAGGCCAAGGUAGGAGGACUGUUUGAGGCCAGGAGUUUGAGACCACCUUGGGCAACAGAGCAAGACCCUGUCUUUGCUGGGCAUGGUAGUAUGAGCCUCCAGUCCUGGCUACUCAGGAGGUUGAGGCAGGGGGAUUGAUUGAGCCCAGGAGGUCAAGGGUGCAGUGAGCUAUGAUUGUGCCACUUGCACCCCAGCCUGGGCAACAGAGCAAGACCGUCUCUACAAAUAAAUAAGUAAAUAAAUAAGAUACAAUAAAAAUUAAAUUGCAAAUGAAAAGUUACACUCUAUCUCAUCCUAUUGUAUACUAGAAAUUAUAAUUUUCCUCCAAUUCAUUACUUUGAUUAUUCUACAAAAUCAAGACUAAACUGGAAUUCAAAUCAGAAAGGCUAAGAAGCAAAGAAUAACAAUGGUGAACUUCAAGAUAAAUAUCCCACAUUAUUUUCAAGGCAGAGGCCAGUGUUGCCUUCUGCAUCUGUUUUGGGAAGAGUGCCCAAAGCCUUCAGAGGAGACAACCUUUUGUGCUGUGUCCCCUACUCCCCCCCCCAUUCUUACCCUGAAUAGCAUUCUUUCCAAAAAAGAAUAAAGAAUACUCAAGGAAAACUAUUAAAAUGCUUGGCAAAACUACACAGACAGACACAGAGGCCAAUUAAGUAUAAAUAUUUCACACCAGAACUGUCUUUUUGACCCAGCCACUAAUAUCUACCCGGCCACAGAUCUAAAUGUUUGGAUGAAAACGACAGAGCAGAGGAGGGCUGGUCAGCCAGCUGCAGAGGGGCGCCCCUUCGGAGCGUUCGCAUCUGCCUGAAGAAUAUGUGUAGUACGUUUUCCUAGAAGCAUGGAGGGGCAUGCGGGUUUGACCAUCUUCCUAAACCUGGAGAAGGUCACUGUUUUCCUUCAGGGAUUAUUCUGUCUCACCGCUUUUGUUUUUUGGUUUCCCUUGAUCUAAAACAAAAGGGUCUACUUUCUUCUUUGGAUUUUGAAGCUGUGGGUGCCUUUCUUCUCAGUUAAUUUUUUUUUUUGUUUUCAUCUGUUAAGACUUAGCUAGUUUAGGUUUUGAAAAUGAACACACUGACAGCCAUUGUGAGAAGAUAGCCUGGCCUUUUGGAGGACAAAUGCUGUGGGGUGGCGUAACCUUGAGGCUCAAGUCCUGGCACUGGCAUUUAGUGUGAGUCAUGCUGUAUUGCUUCACCUCCUGGGCUUCAGUCUCUCCAUCUGUGAAUGUAGAAUGACAAUACCUGCUGUGCUGUAAGGUCACUGUGAAGAUUAAAUGAGAUAAUGCUUUGUAACCUGUUGGCCUCUGUGCAGUUUAAAAUGAUGUUUUUCAUUACUUGGCUAAGUGCUGUACACCCACUGCUCUGUAGGCAAAAUUCAAACAAAAAGCUUUGUAAUGCUCCCACCCAUUGAAAACAUUACUAUGUUAGCCUCUAUAUACAUAAAUUAUUAUAACAAUACCUGGAAGGUAGGAAACACACUUUGAAUUAUAUUGUUUCUAAGAGUGAGGAUAAGGAUUACUUUCAUUCAUUUAUACUUUUUGGGCACCAAUAAUAUGUAUUUGUAAGAUGAGAUGGCCACUUUAUAGAUUGCAUCUUGUAUAUUAAGAAACAAUUAAAUCUAUUUUAAAAGUACAGCUAAAAACCUCCAUUUCCCGAAAUAGCGUGGAUUAGAUUACCUAAAAUCUUUCCUACUACAAAACAUCUAGAAAUGUUAAAAACCUGUAAUAUUCUUUUAAAUUCAUUAUUUGAAUUCCAAGAAAGUAAGAAAUAUCCCUAGGGAAAAAAAUGAAGAUGGAUCUGAACACCAAAAUGUAAGCACAAGCCAAUGUUGCAACAGCCUGGGUGGGGAAAGGGGAGUGAGAAAGUAUGAAGUUGCCAAUCUUAUUAGGCAAGAGGAUCUGCCUCUCUCAAUCUCUAUCUCUCUUUUUAAAAAAUUAAAUUAAAAAAUUUCAAGCACUCACAUAGAAUACUAUAUGACACCUCCAAAUACCUGUCACCUAGAUUCAUUACCAAAAUCUUGCAACAUUUUAUCUUUAUUGUUUGUAUUUUUAUCUUUGCUGAAGUUUUUACAUUGAAUCCUAGACAUCAUGCCAUUUCACUUCACAUAUUCUUAUAUGCAUAUCUAUUUAAACAGCACAGGAAAAGAGGUAUGAGUAUAAAAUCAAAGAAUUCAAACAGAGGCCUUAUAAUGUUAAACUUGAAUUGGAAAUAUUAGCAUGAACUCUCUCUUAAGAGAGAGUUUUAUCUCUUAAGAGAAAAGGCCUGGCAAAAAUGAAAACUCAGGAGCAAGAGGUCUUUGAUGACUUCCUUUUUUCUGACACUGAAAGAUGCCCCAGGAUCUUCUUGGACAUUUCUUGUCCCAAAUCUGUAAUUAUUCAUUUUUCCAAGGAAGCCUGGUCUUCUUAGUAAGAAAUGACACUUAAUGACCAAUCCAGGACUGACACAGAUCCUAGAAUAAGCAAACAAGGACCUUGAAGCAAUUACCAUAACUGUAUUCAAUAUGUUCAAAAAGUUAAGAAAGACAUGGAACAUAAAUUUUUAAAAUUAGACUUCUAGAGAUGAAAACUACAAUGUGUGAGAUGAAAAACACACUGAAUGGGAUGAGGGGAUUAACAGUAGAUUUGACAUUUUUUAAAAAGAUUAAUGAACUGGAGGACAUAAGCAAUAAAAAACAUUCAAAAUAAAAAAUAUAGAAAAAAUAAGUUUAAAACAUGAAAAAAGCAUCAGUGAGCUGUGGCACAACUUCAAGUUUUUAAUAUAAUAGGGGAUCCUAAAGAAGGGGGGAAAUAGAAAAAUAUCUGAUGAAUAAUGGUCAAAAUAUUCCCCCCGAUUUGAUGAAAACUGUAAAACUACAAUCCAGAAAGUUCAAUGAAUCUCAAGCACAAAAAUUAUGAAGAAAACUACACCAAGAUACAUCAUAAUAAAAAUACUCAAAGCCAGUGAUAAGAGAAAAUUUUCAAAGCAGUACAUUUAUCUACAGAGGAACACAUGUAAGGGUGAUAGCAGACUUCUCAUAGGAAACAAUGCAAGUGAAAAGACAAUGGUGCAACACCUAAAAAAAGCACUGAGCACUAAGUGAAAGAAAAACUCUGUAAACCUAGUAUUGUAUACCUAGUAAAAUAUCUUUCAAAAAUAAGGUAAAAAUAAAAACUACUUUCAAACAUAUGAAAGCUGAAAGAAUUAAUCACCAGCAGACAUACACAAUUAAAC